GUAUUUAUACAGUUUUUUCAUAUGGACAUUAACCACCUAAGAGUGCAAAGCAAACAAGAGCAGAGUUAGAAGCUACUUCGAAUUAGGUAAAAUAUAAUUUGACAUGGGAAAUAAUCCCAACGGUCCUAGUCUCUUUAACAACUACACAGAUUAUCCAUGUCGAGUACAACUAGGUAGACAUGCAUUCAUCGAUGUGACAUAUAAAGAGAACAAACGCGAUUGCAGUGAUGGUGAUGAUGAAGUUCCCAGUGAUAGUGAUGAUGAAGUUCCAAGUGAUAGUGAUGAUGAAGUUACCAAAGUGACCAAGAUGUUAUACUAAGAAAUUCAUGAUGCAGACAAUGGUUCCAAUUUCACUAGUGUUGGUUUGGAAAUUAUAAUAAGAAAAACUGAUAAGGGGUAUCUUGAGAUACCUGAACCUGAAAUCGCCGCUAUUGCAUUUAGCGGAGAGGUAUACAUUUUAAGUUGGGGUAUUAAUUCUAACAGAACCAUCAAUGCAUGGGGAGAAGUAAAAGAAUAUACAAACAUUCUCUAUGGUAAAGGAAGGAGGGGAAGUCUUGUUGUUAUAGAGUCUAAGAAAAAGAGUAUAAGUGAUCCAAAUCCCUAUAUGGUCAGUGUGUUUCACUAUUUAGCCGUUGAUGACGGAAAUGUUUUCAAUCCAAAAAUGGAUAUUGGCUUUUCUGUGGUUGUAAAGAUUCAAGCAUCAGAUGAUUUGGGAUUGAAAUAUACUGUAGAGGGUCCAGAGAGACACCCUAGUUCAUCAUUAUUUUACAUGUUUGAACGAGUAAAAAGACUUAAUGGGGGCAUGGAAGCCUAAUUUGUGUCCUCAUUGUGCAAAUCUUCAGAUGCAGCGUAAAUCCUGGCAGACGUCUGAAAGUGAAGACAGCGAUUAUGUUCCACGACGACAUGGUAAUGGUAAGCAGAAGUCAGAAAGUAUGGUUGCCAAUGAUUCUAACGUUAAGGGAAAUUAUAAUGGUAGUUUGUUUGGGAAGUAUUUCCAUUUUCAUAAAAGGUGAAAUAUGUAAUGGAAUCCUUUAAUAUGAAAAGAAAGAAAAUAAUAUUAGUAGUAAAAUAAAGUGGUUAAGGCAUGGUUAGCCACGGAUUAAGAUGGGUACCAUACCCUAACUCAUGUGUCGUCAAUAAUAAUAAGUCGUAUUUGUAACUAAGUGAGUUGUUAAUUAGAGAGCAUUUUAAAAUAUUGGUAUGUAAAUUUGUGUGUUGCACACACCCUGUUGAAUGGGUUUUAGAUAUUUUUUAAUUGUUGUGGAUGACAAAAGUAUGUUUACUUGGAUAUUUAUUAUGAGGAUAAAAUAUGAAAUAUCAUC